UACAGAGGUCUCAAGCGUUGUUCGGAUUCAUUGGGCGUAAAGGGCGCGUAGGCGGCGCGGUAAGUCGGGUGUGAAAUCUCGGAGCUUAACUCCGAAACUGCAUUCGAUACUGCCGUGCUUGAGGACUGGAGAGGAGACUGGAAUUUACGGUGUAGCGGUGAAAUGCGUAGAUAUCGUAAGGAAGACCAGUGGCGAAGGCGGGUCUCUGGACAGUUCCUGACGCUGAGGCGCGAAAGCUAGGGGAGCAAACGGG
rnacentral:rRNA from 1 species